rnacentral:sRNA from 1 species
CCGUCAGCUCUGGAGACUAAAGUCUUCUAUUUACGCAUAGGACAGAUGACAGCACGGACAGCUGCAGCGCAGGGUUUUUUACACUGAGCCACCAACUUGCUUCAAUAAUGACCAGUAGGGACCACUUCUAGGAGUGAGAGGGAAGUUUGGUCUUCAUGGCUCAUUCAUACUUUGAGCUCU